GCCUGGGUGGCUCAGUCGGUUAAGCGUCUGACUUCAGCUCAGGUCAUGAUCUCACGGUUCGGUUCGUGGGUUCGAGCCCCGCGUUGGGCU
rfam:Felis catus isolate Cinnamon breed Abyssinian chromosome C2, whole genome shotgun sequence.